UAGGGAAUCUUCGGCAAUGGGGGCAACCCUGACCGAGCAACGCCGCGUGAGUGAAGAAGGUUUUCGGAUCGUAAAGCUCUGUUGUAAGAGAAGAACGUGUGUGAGGGUGGAAAGUUCACACAGUGACGGUAACUUACCAGAAAGGGACGGCUAACUACGUACCAG
rnacentral:rRNA from 1 species